UGAUGGGGUCCACAUUUAGUUCAUAGGGGGGAAAAAAGUAUUUUAAACUUAUUCAGCAUAAACCUACAAAACAAAAGGAAAUUUAUCUUUACAAUUUGAGGUCACUGUUUUGUGGCUUAUGGUAGAUGAAAAUGUCAAAUGUGUAUUACACAAAAUUGUCAAUAAUUCCAUCAUCAGACAUUAUUAAGCUGAAUGAACUCAUGAACAUCAAGCAGAAAUGUUCUACAUCUACCUCUCUGGCAAGAUUUGAACUCUGGGACAAGCUUUCGAAUUUUCACCCUGUUUCACUACUUGAUGCAUUGAUAGAUCUGUGUAGUUCUUUUAAGGCUACAUGUUAUGUACUAGCUGUGUACAAGAUGGCCAGUGACCAACUGACCUUGGUCACUUAACUCUGUGCUGCUAUUCUUAUUGUAUUUAAGAGCAAACAAUUUUUGUGUUUAUCUUUUCACCUCCUUUUGAAUGUUAGUUUUUGUAAAGUUAUAUUGUCUUUACAAUUGUACUAUGUUGCCUUUUUUUUUAGUUGGUGUUAUUAUCAAAAUAAAAUUAUAUAUAUAUAU